AACGAACGCUGGCGGCAGGCCUAACACAUGCAAGUCGAGCGCCCGGAUUUAUCCGGGAGCGGCGCACGGGUGAGUAACGCGUGGGAACAUGCCCUGAAGUACGGAACAACCUGGGGAAACCUUGGCUAAUACCGUAUACGCCCUGAGGGGGAAAGAUUUAUCGCUUUGGGAUUGGCCCGCGUUGGAUUAGCUGGUUGGUGUGGUAACGGCGCACCAGGGCGACGAUCAAUAACUGGUCUGAGAGGAUGACCAGUCACAAUGGGACUGAGACACGGCCCAGACUCCUACGGGAGGCAGCAGUGGGGAAUAUUGGACAAUGGGCGAAAGCCUGAUCCAGCCAUGCCGCGUGAGUGAAGAAGGCCUUCGGGUUGUAAAGCUCUUUCAGCGGGGACGAUGAUGACGGUACCCGCAGAAGAAGCCCCGGCUAACUUCGUGCCAGCAGCCGCAGUAA
rnacentral:rRNA from 1 species